rnacentral:rRNA from 1 species
UGGGGAAUUUUGGACAAUGGGCGAAAGCCUGAUCCAGCAAUGCCGCGUGUGUGAAGAAGGCCUUCGGGUUGUAAAGCACUUUUGUCCGGAAAGAAAUGGCUCUGGUUAAUACCUGGGGUCGAUGACGGUACCGGAAGAAUAAGGACCGGCUAACUACGUGCCAGUAGCCGCGGUAACACGUAGGGUCCAAGCGUUAAUCGGAAUUACUGGGCGUAAAGCGUGCGCAGGCGGUUGUGCAAGGCCGAUGUGAAAUCCCCGAGCUUAACUUGAGAAUUGCAUUGGUGACUGCACGGUUAGAGUGUGUCAGAUGGAGGUAGAAUUCCACUUGUAGCAGUGAGAUGAGUAGUGAUGUGGAGGAAUACCGGUGGCGACGGCAGCCCCCUGGGAUAACACUGACGCUCAUGCACGAAAGGGUGGGGGGCAAACAGG